CGUAGGGUGCGAGCGUUAAUCGGAAUUACUGGGCGUAAAGCGUGCGCAGGCGGUUUGUUAAGAUAGGCGUGAAAUCCCCGGGCUCAACCUGGGAACUGCGCUUAUGACUGGCAAGCUAGAGUACGGCAGAGGGGGUGGAAUUCCACGUGUAGCAGUGAAAUGCGUAGAGAUGUGGAGGAACACCAAUGGCGAAGGCAGCCCCCUGGGUCGAUACUGACGCUCAUGCACGAAAGCGUGGGUAGCAAACAGGAUUAGAUACCCUGGUAGUCCACGCCCUAAACGAUGUCAACUAGGUGUUGGGAGGGUAAAACCUUUUAGUACCGGAGCUAACGCGUGAAGUUGACCGCCUGGGGAUACGGCCGCAAGGUUA
rnacentral:rRNA from 1 species